GGAAGGAUCAUUACUGAAUUGUCAAACGGGUUGUUGCUGGUCCUCAAAUGGGGACAUGUGCACGCUCUGUUUACACAUCCACUCACACCUGUGCACCCUCUGUAGUUCUGCGGUAUGGGGGACCCCGUCUUCCUUCUGUGGUUCUAUGUCUUUACACACACACUGUAAUAAAGUCUUAUGGAAUGUAUGCCGCGUCUAACGCAAUACAAUACAACUUUCAGCAACGGAUCUCUUGGCUCUCGCAUCGAUGAAGAACGCAGCGAAAUGCGAUAAGUAAUGUGAAUUGCAGAAUUCAGUGAAUCAUCGAAUCUUUGAACGCACCUUGCGCCCCUUGGCUAUUCCGAGGGGCAUGCCUGUUUGAGUAUCAUGAACACCUCAACUCUCAUGGUUUGCCAUGACGAGCUUGGACCUUGGGGGUUUUGCUGGCCUGUGGUCGGCUCCUCUCAAAUGAAUCAGCCUCCCAGUGUUUGGUGGCGUCACGAGUGUGAUAACUAUCUACGCUCGCGGUUGUCCACCAGGUAACCUUUGGUGACAAAGGUUCGCUGGAGCUCAUAGAUGUCUCUCCUCAGCGAGGACAGCUUUUUAACGUUCGAUCUCAAAUCAGGUAGGACUACCCGCUGAACUUAAGCAUAUCAAUAAGCGGAGGAAAAGAAACUAACAAGGAUUCCCCUAGUAACUGCGAGUGAAGCGGGAAGAGCUCAAAUUUAAAAUCUGGCGUGCCUCUGGUCGUCCGAG
rnacentral:sRNA from 1 species